rnacentral:rRNA from 1 species
UCGGAAUCACUGGGCGUAAAGGACGCGUAGGCGGGCUUGUAAGUCAGAUGUGAAAUCCAAUGGCUCAACCAUUGAACUGCAUUUGAAACUACGAGUCUAGAGUAUGGGAGGGGGAGAUGGAAUUAGUGGUGUAGGGGUAAAAUCCGUAGAUAUCACUAGGAAUACCGAAAGCGAAGGCGAUCUCCUGGAACAUUACUGACGCUAAGGCGUGAAAGCGUGGGGAGCAAACGGGAUUAGAUACCCCGGUAGUCCACGCCCUAAACGAUGAACACUAGUCGUCGGGAUGCUUGUCAUCUCGGUGAUGCACUUAACAGAUUAAGUGUUCCGCC